rnacentral:tRNA from 1 species
GGUUGUUUGGCCGAGCGGUCUAAGGCGCCUGAUUCAAGAAGUUCGCUUCUUAACGCUGUUAUACAGUGGAACACUCAGGUAUCGUAAGAUGCAAGAGUUCGAAUCUCUUAGCAACCA